CAUGGAAAAAAGAAAGCCUGACGUUAAUUUUGUAGCGAUAAUUGAAAAGCAUGCAGCUCCCCAGCACCACUCUUUAUGCCAUCUGGAAGUUUGGAAUCACAUCCUUCAAAACUUGAUAAAGGUUACUCCAUCCAGCAAGGCUUUUUUAGAGGGGAGGAGAGACAGUUUCAGACUAAAUAGAACAAAUCCCAGAUCUCAUGCAAAGGCUAAACUCUUGACUGACAGCUUUUAAGAGCUUCCUUUCCUUAACUUAAAUAUAGAUAUACACAUGACAGACAAACUAUCUGAUAUUAAAAGCAUCAUCAAAAUCCCAGCUCUGUUCAGCAAAAGGAUGGAUGGCUUGGAUAAGCAGUUUUCAAAUGGUGGGACAGGACCCAAAAGUAGGUCGUGAGAGAGUACCUGAGUUGCACGAAGCAGCUUGAGACCAGCAAAACCCAAGGUCUUCAGGAUCCAGCAGGAGUCUUGACCAAGACGAAAAAUAGCAGCUCACUACACCUCUCCCUUCCACUGCUACUUCCCCUUCCAUCCACCACCUACUCCCAACAUCCAUUGGCUCAGGUGCUGAAGAAGUGCUUGAACCAUGACUAGUUUACACAUAUCUAAACUGGCCUGGAUUUGCAUAAAUCAGGUAGCUUUAUAAUUAGUUACUCAUGAAAAGAGUGGGCUACAUUUUAAGUGAAUAUUAUUUAUAACCAGUGGCCUGAACAGUUCUAGCAACACUUUCUACUUAUACACAGUGACUGCAAUUAAAAAAAAAAACACCACCACAUUUGCAAUAGUUACUGUGUUAAUCUCAGACUCCAGAUAUGUGGUUUCCUUCUAAAUUUAAAGAAAUCUGUGAUAAAUGUGAGGCACAUAUUGGGGCUUCUUAGUGGAUACUAUGGAAGCUUGCGUCAGGCAAGCAUUGCAAAGCUGUUUGUAAACAUUAAUUCUUCUAGGACUUCUGCAGGGUAAAUAAAUACUUUGUUAUUACACACUUUGUAAAUGGCUAAACUGAAACAGAGAGGUCAGCUGACUUUCCCAAGGUCUAACAGCAAGUCAGUGAUUAAGGAUUGGUGGUCUCUGUUAUUGGGUUGUGCUAAAAGCUAAAUUUACUACCUUUCUAUCUGCCUGGCUAGUCUUAAAAAAAAUUG